UACAGAGGUGGCAAGCGUUGUUCGGAAUUACUGGGCGUAAAGGGCGCGUAGGCGGCCUUCUAAGUCAGACGUGAAAUCCCCCGGCUUAACCUGGGAACUGCGUCUGAUACUGGAAGGCUUGAGUGCGGGAGAGGGAUGUGGAAUUCCAGGUGUAGCGGUGAAAUGCGUAGAUAUCUGGAGGAACACCGGUGGCGAAGGCGGCAUCCUGGACCGACACUGACGCUGAGACACGAAAGCGUGGGGAGCAAACAGG
rnacentral:rRNA from 1 species